CGCGUAGGCGGCCUUCUAAGUCGAACGUGAAAUCCCUGGGCUCAACCCAGGAACUGCGUCCGAUACUGGAAGGCUCGAAUCCGGGAGAGGGAUGUGGAAUUCCAGGUGUAGCGGUGAAAUGCGUAGAUAUCUGGAGGAACACCGGUGGCGAAGGCGACAUCCUGGACCGGUAUUGACGCUGAGGCGCGAAAGCCAGGGGAGCAAACG
rnacentral:rRNA from 1 species